AUGUAUGCCAAAUGUUGGAAAUCAGACCGAAGUUGGAAUAUCAAUUCCAUUCUAGCCUUUAUUAUUCCAAACAAACAUUGCAUUAGGCUUACAAAAUAUCUAUUACAGAUCUUGUGCUACUUGGUGGAUAAGUAUUUUAUAAACUCAAAAUGAGCAUAAGGUGCUCUUGUAUGCAUUUUGAAUUCCGUCAUAUUAACUUUGGGCAUCUGUAUCCAACACUUUGUUGUGGAAAAGAAAUAGAUAAGCUAAACAAUUGUUAUUUUUUUUUCCAGAUCCAAAUACACAUAUAUUAUGGAUAGAGAAUGCAAUGCAAAUUGAAGGCUGUCCAUGACAUCGAAGCAGGUGAGGAACUGCGGAUCUGCUAUAUUGAUGUUAGCAUGGGUUAUGAGGCUCGGACAGAAAAUUCUUGCUGAAAGGUUUUGGUUUCAAGUGUAGCUGUCUUCGGUGCUUAUCUGGGCGAAUAACAAGCAUUUUUCUUAUAUUUUAAUAGGAUGAUCUUACACUCCAAGAGGAUUAAAAGUACUGAAGGCCGGCUAACAGCAAAGCCCAGGACUCCUGAAGGGAUCACUGGAUCAAACAGAGCAUGGCAUUUCUUUAUCUCCAAUAGCUCUUUUUUGUUAAUGCUUCUCUGAAGCCUAG